rnacentral:lncRNA from 1 species
GGAAAAAAAGCCACUGGAUUAGAUACGAGUUCUAGUCAACGAAAGUCACUUAAACUCUGUUUUGGCUUCCUCGUCUGGAAGAUGAAAAUGGUAAUAUAACUGACUGAGUAGGGUUGCUGUAAGUAUGAGUUAGUGUGUAAAUGUUUACAAUUACGCAGGGCACACAGCAAGCGCCACGUUUUCUAUCAGGGCUACUCUCACCUAACGCGUAAAACAGGAUGGCAUGCCCAGCGGGAUCCGGGCCCUGGGUUCUCAGGCAUUGUGAUUGGUCUCAGCAUAUGACGCAAGGCGGGCUUCAUUAAUGAAAUUGCUGUCAAUUAGCGAAGGGCGGAAACCAGGCGAAGAGGGCGGUCCUUUAGAACCACACUCGCGCGACUGGCUCCUCUCUUUACAGGCUUAGCUACUGCGCAUGCCUCUGGCCCUCUUGAGGUCCCGGCGUGCCCCGCAACAGCUUCCGGCGUGCUCCGCAACAGCUUCCGGCGUGACGCAGUAGAAAAGGUGGCGUGGCUGGCGAUUCGUGUUCGUGAGGGCCUUUUCUGGAGCUCUCUGUACAUCCUCAACCAGAGCCACAGCUUCCUCGCCGUUUUCUGGAUGCUGCUCCCUCACCCAGGUCUGGAUCUCCUCUGGCAAGAUAGUCAGAAACUGCUCCAAAACCAGCAGCUCCAGGAUUUCCUCUUUUGAGUGGGUCUUCGGCCUCAGCCACUGACAACAGAGUUCCCAGAGUUUGCUAAAAGCUUCAUGUGGGCCAGUUACCUCCUGGUAGCAAAACUGCCUGAAGCGCUGACGGGAGGCCUCGGAGUCAGGGCUGUUACCCUGGAGGGCUGAUUUCUGGCCCUGUGUGGGAUCCUUGUUUGAGGAUGGGUGUGCCUCGGUACUCUUCACUGCAGCCAUCAUUUGCUUCAACGAACUGGCUUACUCUGGUUGCCACUUCUACCCUGGAGAUCAGAGUCCAUCUUUCCCACAUCACUGGGAAGCCAUGUUCUCCUGCAAGGAAUGUCUUUCUGUAAUCCGUGGGACAUGAGAGUGUCAGACAUGUGUAGAGACUCACAGCGGAAAAAAAGGGCUCAACUUUGAAGGAUGUCUGAAGAGGAUGGAAAAAGACAAUAUAAACCUAUCAAACAUUC